CGGCGGACGGGUGAGUAACACGUGGAUAACCUACCUAUAAGACUGGGAUAACUUCGGGAAACCGGAGUUAAUACCGGAUAAUAUUUUGAACCGCAUGGUUCAAAAGUGAAAGACGGUCUUGCUGUCACUUAUAGAUGGAUCCGCGCUGCAUUAGCUAGUUGGUAAGGUAACGGCUUACCAAGGCAACGAUGCAUAGCCGACCUGAGAGGGUGAUCGGCCACACUGGAACUGAGACACGGUCCAG
rnacentral:rRNA from 1 species